UUUUGUAGAGAUAGUAGAGACAGUUGUGGGCAGAAUGAGAAGCAGAAGGGUAGGACUUACCCUCCACUUUAUGUAACAGCUGCCCCUUUGAGUCACAGGAUAGGGCUGUCCCUCAAAGCACUUUCCUUACAAAACACAACCUUCCAUCUAGAAGCAGUUGUAUCAGUCAGGAGACAGAGCUACAACAGCUGAUCCUGGGCUCCAGGGAGUACUGUCAUCUGCCUUAAGAUUUUACAGCAGGGUGAGGAAGAGACACAGAAUAUGAAGACUAUAACCUGAAGAUUUCCACUAAUGGAAAAUCUAAUUUGGACUGGUCCAAAUUAGGACCCUCGGCUGUUAGACCAUGCAUACAAAAUUUAAUUUUCCUUUAAAGAAGAAUUUAUGUUUCUACCUAAAUCAAUAGCAACUAAUGUUUCUCUGCCAAAGUUGUAGUAACCAAUGACAAAUAAAUAUUCAGUUGUUACUGGAGAAGUCUUCAAUCAACUAUCAUCUGUAUUCACACUCAGCAGUCAGAAGUAGGGUUAUAGUUUACAUCUGUAGAACUGGAGUACUGCAGAGGUUUGGAAAAGCUGUCACUGGAAAUGUUUACCGCAAAUAUCAUUGUCUUGAACAUCGUUAUCCUCUGUCAUCCUGAAAGCUACAACGGAUGCAGAACUAGGAGAGAAAGUAGUGCUUCUUCCAUCAGAAAUAUAUCACAUCGAGAUGUCAAGUUUGGCAGUGAGAAAACUGGAAUGGGUAUAUGGAAAACAUUUCUUCUUUAAGCCGACAAAAGUUGCAUUUGGUUAAAAUAUUGUGUGUUAAUCUGAAUCAUUCAAAUGGUUCCUUUGGUUUUACUUAUUCAGCUACAGAAUUUGGACUUCUGGGUCAGCUUCAAAGUUGACUAAUUGGACAACAUAUUUCAAAGGUUAUGACAUUCCCUUUAUUUGUCUUGGGCAUGACUCUGCAAAUGAAACAAAAAGGAAUUUCUUGACACUCUGUAGGCUAAGCUUUAAACAGGUUCUUUCUUACUUGUAUGCAUUUUAUUUCUCAUGCAAUAAAAGAAAAUGUCCACUGUU